GGAUAAUACUGGAUAGGCAAUUUUUCCUGUAAUGGUUUUUUGUUUAAAUGUUUUUUCGCCUAAGGGUGGGUCUGCGGCCGAUUAGGUAGUUGGUUAGGUAAUGGCUUACCAAGCCGUUGAUCGGUACGGGUUGUGAGAGCAAGAGCCCGGAGAUGGAACCUGAGACAAGGUUCCAGGCCCUACGGGGUGCAGCAGGCGCGAAACCUCCGCAAUGUGAGAAAUCGCGACGGGGGGAUCCCAAGUGCCAUUCUUAACGGGAUGGCUUU
rnacentral:rRNA from 1 species